rnacentral:tRNA from 1 species
AGGUUAUUCGUAUAGUGGUAGUACAGCAGUCUCCAAAACUGUUAGCGUUGGUUCGAUUCCAGCAUAAUCUG